GACGAACGCUGGCGGCGUGCCUAAUACAUGCAAGUAGAACGCUGAAGGAGGAGCUUGCUUCUCCGGAUGAGUUGCGAACGGGUGAGUAACGCGUAGGUAACCUGCCUGGUAGCGGGGGAUAACUAUUGGAAACGAUAGCUAAUACCGCAUAACAGUAGAUAUUGCAUGAUAUCUGCUUGAAAGGUGCAAUUGCAUCACUACCAGAUGGACCUGCGUUGUAUUAGCUAGUUGGUGAGGUAACGGCUCACCAAGGCGACGAUACAUAGCCGACCUGAGAGGGUGAUCGGCCACACUGGGACUGAGACACGGCCCAGACUCCUACGGGAGGCAGCAGUAGGGAAUCUUCGGCAAUGGACGGAAGUCUGACCGAGCAACGCCGCGUGAGUGAAGAAGGUUUUCGGAUCGUAAAGCUCUGUUGUAAGAGAAGAACGAGUGUGAGAGUGGAAAGUUCACACUGUGACGGUAUCUUACCAGAAAGGGACGGCUAACUACGUGCCAGCAGCCGCGGUAAUACGUAGGUCCCGAGCGUUGUCCGGAUUUAUUGGGCGUAAAGCGAGCGCAGGCGGUUAGAUAAGUCUGAAGUUAAAGGCUGCGGCUUAACCAUAGUACGCUUUGGAAACUGUUUAACUUGAGUGCAAGAGGGGAGAGUGGAAUUCCAUGUGUAGCGGUGAAAUGCGUAGAUAUAUGGAGGAACACCGGUGGCGAAAGCGUCUCUCUGGCUUGUAACUGAGCGCUGAGGCUCGAAACGUGUGGAGCAACACGAUUAUAUAUCCUUGUGAUCUAUGGGCUGAAUUCCCCAUGGAUGUCUGGCUGUGCGAGAUCCUGCUGACUGUGGGGGGAAGAAAGAAUACACUAAAUUUUUGUUCCUAUUGUGAAGGUUAAUUUAAAUGCUGCUCACACUAUGCUAUGUGAAAUGUGUGCGGUGUGUGCUUGUGUAUCUGAUGUGCUCUGAUGUCUGUCUGAGUCUGCUGGCUCGUGGUGUGGGUGAUUGGUGUCUGUUGAUGUGUGUGCACUAGGUCUGGCUGUGUGGUUUUGUGCCGCUCGUGCGUGCGUUAUUGUGUCUUGACUGAUGUGUGCGUCGUUGUGUUUUUGCUGCUGUGUUAUCAUCUAUGUGAAUGAUUCUA
rnacentral:rRNA from 1 species